rnacentral:rRNA from 1 species
GGGCGAGUUUGAUCAUGGCUCAGGACGAACGCUGGCGGCGUGCUUAACACAUGCAAGUCGAGCGGAAAGGCCCUUCGGGGUACUCGAGCGGCGAACGGGUGAGUAACACGUGAGCAACCUGCCCUUAGCUCUGGGAUAGCUCCGGGAAACCGGAAUUAAUACCAGAUAUUACGUCAAUCGACAUCGGCUGACGUGGAAAGAUUUAUCGGCUGAGGAUGGACUCGCGGCCUAUCAGCUAGUUGGUGGGGUAACGGCCUACCAAGGCGACGACGGGUAGCCGGCCUGAGAGGGCGACCGGCCACACUGGGACUGAGACACGGCCCAGACUCCUACGGGAGGCAGCAGUGGGGAAUCUUGCGCAAUGGGCGAAAGCCUGACGCAGCAACGCCGCGUGCGGGAAGAAGGCCUUCGGGUUGUAAACCGCUUUCAGCAGGGAAGAAGGCGAGCGGGUUAAUAGCCCGUCAGCUGACGGUACCUGCAGAAGAAGGUCCGGCUAACUACGUGCCAGCAGCCGCGGUAAUAA